rnacentral:sRNA from 1 species
GCCGGGUGCUGUGGCGCACGCCUGUAAUCCCAGCAGCUUGUGAGGCUGAGGCAGGAGGAUACUGAGUUCAAAGCCAGCCUCAGCAAAAGUGAGACCCUGUCUCUA